UACAGAGGGUGCGAGCGUUAAUCGGAUUUACUGGGCGUAAAGCGCGCGUAGGUGGCUAAUUAAGUCAAAUGUGAAAUCCCCGAGCUUAACUUGGGAAUUGCAUUCGAUACUGGUUAGCUAGAGUAUGGGAGAGUAUGGUAGAAUUCCAGGUGUAGCGGUGAAAUGCGUAGAGAUCUGGAGGAAUACCGAUGGCGAAGGCAGCCAUCUGGCCUAAUACUGACACUGAGGUGCAAAAGCAUGGGGAGCAAACAGG
rnacentral:rRNA from 1 species